rnacentral:rRNA from 2 species
UGGGGAAUAUUGCACAAUGGGGGAAACCCUGAUGCAGCCAUGCCGCGUGUGUGGAGAAGGCCUUCUGGUUGUAAAGCACUUUCAGUAGGGAGGAAAGGGUGUAGUUUAAUACGCUAUAUCUGUGACGUUACCUACAGAAGAAGGACCGGCUAACUCCGUGCCAGCAGCCGCGGUAAU